rnacentral:tRNA from 1 species
GCAGGUAUAGCUCAGUGAUAGAGAGCCUGCUUAGCAUGCAUGAGGUUCCUGGGUUCAAUCCCCAGUACCUCCA